CCUACGGGGGACUGCAGUGAGGAAUAUUGGUCAAUGGACGAGAGUCUGAACCAGCCAAGUAGCGUGAAGGAUGACUGCCCUAUGGGUUGUAAACUUCUUUUAUAUGGGAAUAAAAUGUUCCACGUGUGGGAUUUUGUAUGUACCAUAUGAAUAAGGAUCGGCUAACUCCGUGCCAGCAGCCGCGGUAAUACGGAGGAUCCGAGCGUUAUCCGGAUUUAUUGGGUUUAAAGGGAGCGUAGGUGGAUUGUUAAGUCAGUUGUGAAAGUUUGCGGCUCAACCGUAAAAUUGCAGUUGAAACUGGCAGUCGUGAGUACAGUAGAGGUGGGCGGAAUUCGUGGUGUAGCGGUGAAAUGCUUAGAUAUCACGAAGAACUCCGAUUGCGAAGGCAGCUCACUGGACUGCAACUGACACUGAGGCUCGAAAGUGUGGGUAUCAAACAGGAUUAGAGACCCUUGUAGUC
rnacentral:rRNA from 1 species